UAGCACAGUAUAUGCCUUUAGAAGAAGGUGGCAGUGCUGCAGCGUUACAUCAGUGUGUGCCCUUUAAUGUGGGCUCCUCCUACUGUGACUGUGUUUUCUCUGGAAAAUGCAAAGAAGGAAAUCUGUCCUGGAUUAUAUUUGAGAGGUCAGGCUGGAUCAUAUGUCCACUGAGGAAAGGACAUUUUUUCAGAUACAUUCAGGGGCAGUGUUUCAGUUUCAGGAAACUCCACAGCAGAGGAAGCCGGAACCAGAGCCUAGAUGCCUCCAAAAUGGGAAAAGGAUUUAAUUUUUGAUUUAAAAGCCACAUUUGCAAAAUUGAAAAUAUCCUUCAGAAUAUCAAUGCCAUAUGGCAGAGUUGUUAAGGCUUACUGGGAAUCUGUGGAACUAAGGCGUUAACAGUCUUCCUCAACACUGCUGAACGCGCAGAAGUUAAGUAUAUAUUUUUAUUUUAAAUAAAUGCAUCAUUUCUCUUCCAAUCUUGAUUCUUAAUCUUUCUCCGGGAAUGCAUGCGUUUGUCUUCACUUUUCAGUUCUGCAAGAUGUAUUACUGUAUAUACAGUAUGUGUUUAUAACUAAUGCAAUAUCUUUUUCUCAAACAGAAUGAACCACCUCUGAUGGACAAUUUCCACAAAUGCACCAGCAACAAUGAUACUGAAGUGGCAAUCUGGAACGUCACACCAAUUGCUAAGUGUCCCUAAUUUCCUUGUCAGUCCCCUCUUCACAAUGUACCCUGGAAAUUAUCCAUACAGAUCAAAAGCAUAAUGUAAUAUCACGUAAAGUAUAAGAAACCUUGAUAAUGUUACUGCUACAUUACCAAAUGCCAUUUUCCUGGAUGCUGGGUGUGUUUGUAGCACCUGCACUUUCUCUUUAUGUAUUGACAAUGUCACGCAACCAUUGUUUUGUUUUGUAUACUAGAUCUUAUUAUUGCAGUAUCUGCUGAUAAUCAUUAUGCUGCAUAUCAGAUCAGUGUUAUUAAAACAAAACUGGAGUAUGAUUAUGAUUUUCCUUUCCAAGCAUGAUGUCAUAGAUGUUGCAAGGUCUUCAUUUCAAAAUGGGCGUAGGCACGGAGAGAUUCGUGUUUAAAAUCUAAGCAAUCUGACAAGAUUGCUUAGAUUUUAAGCACGGAUCUGUCGUGUGUAUGCCCCCAGGCGAUAGACGCGCAUCGCAAUCGCCGAUGCUAGAUUGAGCCUACAUGCAGGCUCAAUCUAACGGGUCGAUCACUUCAGCGCUGUGUGAAGUGAGUGCCCCCCUCCUCGCUCAGCACACAUUGCGCUGUGCUGAGCGGGGGGAGAGAUGUGCGCUGAGCGGUCUGUGUUAAAAUCACUCAGCACACAUCUCUCCGUCAGUACUGGCCUUAAUGUGCAGUAAGUGUACAUCUUUAUCUCUUGAAUGGGUUUUUAAAUUCUGUGACUCUUGUUAACAAAAUGGCAAACCUACAAUGCUGGGAUUUGUAGUUCACCAGCUAUGUGUAGGUUUAGGUACAAGCAACACAGCAAAAGAGAUAAUUAGAUCACCACUGGUUGCUCUGGGAACAAACUAAUAAAAUAUUUUAUUCACUUUGCCAGGCUGACAGAAACUGUCCAUUACAUGGGUUGGUAUAGUAUAUAUAAAACAUAUUAUUAUUCUUUAUUUAUGUGGCACCACAAGGGUUCCACAGCACCUAACAAAGUAUGUAGACAAUUGAGCAGAACAAGAAAACAGUAAUUUACAGAACAAAACAAUGCUGAUCAUGUACAUGGUUUAGAAAGAUUGCUGCAUCAUAACACUUAAAUAAGCAGCAGGGCGGCAGCAACCAAGGGUUAGGAGCCGUGGUAGGGAGAAUGGAGUAGAUGAUAGUAUAAGCAAGAGAAGCCAGUGAGCGGAGAGGGCCCUGCUCGUGAGGGGCAGACAGGGGUGAUACAGAUGGGGUGACACUGUGAGCACAUGGAAGAGGGUUAGGAUGAGAGAUGGCUCGUUUAUAUAAGACAGAUUUAUAAAUACAUGAAUUACAGGUAACUUGCUAAAUUUAUACUGUAUGUGAUGGAAAAGUGCAUUUAUCAGUGAUGCAUUUGCGGUUGCUAAAGCCUAAUAAAAUGCUGCUAUAGUAGAGUGAGAGGCACUCCCAACUCCUAAAGGUAAAUGUAAAGAAAUGAAUAUAGGGUCUACCAACUCCCAAUAAUGCUUUGACAUACACUUGCUGCUUCAGGUACCUUGGGACCCUGGUCAUCUACGGCUUUGAGAGUCAGUAAACGUAGUACAGUAUAUAAUGAUUAUACACUACAUCUGUGUAUUAUGGUUCAGGACCAAAUUUGGAAAAUUGUUAGGUCAAAAGCAUUAUUGUGCGCUGGUAGACCCUACUUUUGUUUAUUACCCGGCUUAGUUUCCAAUUAAAAUGAAAUUAGCAUAUAAACCAUGCAUCAUUAGAGAUGGCUGCUCUUUAGAUCAGCUCUGUGCCCCACCUCCCGAGCUAUAACACUCCUACAAACGCAAAACUGGUUGUGUAUUCAGUGGAAAGUUAUAGAGUAGUAGUAUUAAUUACUUCAUUAAUUAAUUAAGCUCAAUAAGGACAGGACUGUUUUGAGGAUCUACUAGAAGCCAUUUAGGUACAGCAGCUGGAGCUCAUCUGUUCCUCGCCUGGGAUCUGGGGGGUCUCAUUGGUUGCAGCUGAUGCAACCAUGGCUUCUGUGAACAUAGAAAACCUGGCUCUGUGUCCAUCAGUCAGCAUGCUAAACAUAUAUAUUGGGCACAUAGUGACUCCAAGCUGGCAGGUACUUACAAAAGAGCUCAGACAGUACAAGAGCAAAAGCCUUACACAGAAGAAGGGUCAUACUUCCCGGGCACUCUGUCUUACAUUGCCAGAGCACUCUGGGGUCUAUUCAUGAAGCAGUGAAAAGUGUGGAGAAAUGAGCCAGUGGAGAAGUUGCCCAUGGCAACCAAUCAGCAUUGAAGUAACAUUUCAAUUUGCAUACUACAGGUUGAGUAUCCCUUAUCCAAAACGCUUGGGACCGGAAGUAUUUUGGAUAUCGGAUUUUUCCGUAUUUUGGAAUAAUUGCAUACCAUAAUGAGAUACAAUGGCGAUGGGACCCAAGUCUAAGCACAGAAUGCAAUUAUGUUUCAUAUACACCUUAUACACACAGCCUGAAGGUCAUUUUAGCCAAUAUUUUUAAUAACUUUGUGCAUUAAACAAAGUGUAUCUACAUUCACACAAUUCAUUUAUGUUUUAUAUACACCUUGUACACACAGCCUGAAGGUCAUUUAAUACAAUAUUUUUAAUAACUUUGUGUAUUAAACAAAGUUUGUGGACAUUGAGCCAUCAGAAAACAAAGGUUUCACUAUCUCACUCUCACUCAAAAAAGUCCGUAAUUCGGAAUAUUCCGUAUUUCGGAAUAUUUGGAUAUGGGAUACUCAACCUGUAUAACAUUAUACAGAGCAGCUGAUUGGUUGCCAUGGACAACUUCUCCAAUGGCUCACUUCUCCUCACUUUUCACUGCUUAUGUCUAAAUAUUUCUACAAUAACUCGAUAAUCUCUCAUGUCUUCAUCUUGUCAAUAACUGCUUUAAUAUUGGUGGCUAAUAAUUCUUCUGCCUUACAUUAGUCACACACACACACACACACACACACACACACACACACACACACACACACACACACACACACACACA